GGUCUUAUGGUGUAUGGUUUAGCACUCUGGACUUUGAAUCCAGCGAUCCGGUUCGGUCCCGGUAGGACCU
rnacentral:tRNA from 1 species